AGCAACAUUAGCCCGAGCCGGACGUGCAGUUUUACUCCAGAUGACGACCAGAGACACCGUCUGACUGGUUCAGACGCCAGCAGUACUGUUGCAGCUUAUCCAUUCAGUUGGGAGGAGCAAAAUGUCUAAGGAAAGGACUGAGGAAUGUCAUCGUGCAGUGCCAAAGUUUGUCGUUAAAGGCCUGCACCCAUUUGCCACCGUAGAAGCCCCUGGUUUUCGAAUGUGGGAGGAGGAAUGCAAAUCCCAGACAGGAAGGCUGAAGUUGGAAUCAAACCCUGCACCUAUAAACAGUUCGGCAGACUUGCCAACCAGUGCACCGCCCGGUGAGAAAAUCAGUUGCUAAUUUCAUGAUUCUUCUCAACUCUGCUUUUAGGUUGGAACAUGUGCACAUGACAUGACCGAAAUAUAGAUUUCUGCUCAUAUGUUUGUCUCGUAUUCCUCAUUUCAAAAUAAACAUUCUCUGUGGUCCUUGGCCCAAAGCCAGUA